rnacentral:lncRNA from 1 species
UAUUAGCAAGCAGCCUCAGAUAGUUACCCUUUUCUGCCUUAUCUACCUUCUUAAAAGUUCUUCCAACAGCUGCCAAGUAAUCUUUGGCCUUAUCACAUGCAGGGAUGCUAUCUCUAGUUGUUCUAUCAAUGGUGUAUUUCAUUGUAUCCAGACAGUGUCUAUUGGAUUCAUCCCAAGUUGCCCACUCUGCUUUUUCAGCAGCAGUGCUCUUAUCUGUGGGCUU